CAUAGUUAUGGAGAACGCCAGUUGAACUGCCUUUCUAGGCUGCCAGACUCCUCCCAAGCCACAUCAUCUGGAGUAGUGACCUGAGAAGGCUACAGGUGCAGGUUAGGCAGAGGAAUACUUUGCCCCAGAAUUCAAGAAUUCACUAGCAACUGCUGCAGGUAUUCUGGAGUGUUCUAGAAGAGCUGCACAUACAGGAUAACCACAAAGGGGACAGAGUUUUCCAGAGAAACUGAACCAACAGGAAGUGUGUGUAUGUACAAACAAGGAUAGAGAGAGCACUGUGUUUGAAAGAAUUGGCUCACAUAAUUGUGGGAUCUGGAAAGUCUGUAAUCUGCAAGGCAACCAGCAGGCUGGAGACCCACAGAAGAGUUGACAUUGAAUCUUCCAGUGUGAAAGCCUUUUGGAGGAAGAAUUCCUUCUCAAGAGACCUUAGCCUUUUCUCUCACACCUUCAGCCGCCUGGAUGAGGCCCAUCCACAUUAUCCAUCUCUACAAAAAUCCUAGGACCAGCAAUUGAUUCUAUGUCCUCGACUUUGGCCACUCAACCUGUACAUCUAUCUGGGUCGAAGAAGUGGAGUAAGAAUAGAGCAGGGAUGCAAAAGCAGGUGUCCAUUAUGUGCCAGAUGCUGUGUUUGGUCCAAGAAUAGGAAGUCAACGUCACAGACCCUUCUUUCAAAAAGCUCACGUCUAGGGAGAGUAUGACUGAAGAAAAAGAGAAUGACUGAAAGCUAUGUAUAAAAGGGGGAAUUUGAAGAACCAGAGCAACAACCUAUAGCAUAGAUCAUGGGACAUAGCUCGCAAUAAUUCCCCCGUAUUUGCCACAAAAGGGCUUCAUUUCCUAAAGAAGCAAACGGUUGUAGAUGAGCCUCCAGGUGCUACAAGAGAGCAGUAGCUGGAAAGAACAUGAGAGUUUUUGCCUACGCAUAGGCAAAGAUGGUUCCGGCUACCCAUCUCGGACCUUCUCAGACCAAGCAGAGCUGCAGCCUCUGGGCUUGUCUUACCUUGUAAUGCAUUUGGAAAGCACCAUAUUCUCAGGAAUAGAAAAGACUGUCUGCCCUGAGAACUUUGGGCUCUGACAUGAGAUGUGGAGACAGCCUUGCGGAGACUUCUUAGCCAGCUGCCAUAGUUAGG